rnacentral:lncRNA from 1 species
UUUGCAUCAACUGAAAAACAUCAACACGAGGUUGAAAAAAAAAACAUUCUCCAGCGUUUGUCUGUUACGAGGUUCAUCAGAGGACAAACAUAUAUACUGUAAAGGAGAAAGAGGUAACCUGAAGGUUCGAAAGUAAUGGAUAGUUUUCAAUGAAGUAAUCACCCCAAACAGUAGGGUGGUAGUUUGCAAGGCAGCGAAUGGCUCCAUCGCCAUUGCAUAGUACUGAAGAAUGCUGUGUAGAUCCGUGGGCUUCCAUCGCCACGCUGCUCGAUUUAUGGAAUAGAACUAGUAAGUGAAGAUCUUGGACAAAG